UACGUAGGUGGCAAGCGUUGUUCGGAAUUAUUGGGCGUAAAGGGCGCGUAGGCGGUCUUGUAAGUCAGCUGUGAAAACCCGCGGCUCAACUGUGGGCGGGCAGCUGAUACGGGCAGGCUGGAGUUCGGUAGGGGAGACUGGAAUUCCUGGUGUAGCGGUGAAAUGCGCAGAUAUCAGGAGGAACACCGGUGGCGAAGGCGGGUCUCUGGGCCGAUACUGACGCUGAGGAGCGAAAGCGUGGGGAGCGAACAGG
rnacentral:rRNA from 1 species